rnacentral:lncRNA from 1 species
UACUUUUGAAUUAUAAAUUACUUUUGAGUUGUGUCACACCACUCUCAUCCAAUCAUUCGCGGCUACAAACAACAUUUUUUUUUCUACUCAAGUCCAAAAAGCUUAUGCUCUUUGAUGUAAUAAAUUUUGAUCAUUAUCAAUUAUGCGAAUCUAACAAUCUAGCAUCUAAGUUUUUUUAAUAUAAAAAAUUAUUUUUUUAAGCAUUAUUUAAAAAAAGAAAAGAAAUUAGAUGCAGUGCCUAGUUGACUUAACUCGUAUAGUGAGAAUAAAAGGCUAUGGAUUCAAGUACAAAAGGGUAGGUUGAUUGAGGUGGGAAAAUGUGCAAUUAUUUGUAAUUCAAAAAAUGUAACAACUUAGGGCCUGUUUGGUACUGUUUUCAAACCUCUAUUUUCAUUCUUGUUUUAUAAAUACAAUUGAAAAACAUGUUUGGUGGGCUAAAUUCAGAAAUAGAUUAUAAAACAAAAAAUUCGGAUUCAGUUUUCCAGUUGUAAAGUUGAAAACGUGUUUAAUAUAUUUUCAAAUGAAUUUACAGUUCACACUAAAGAACAAACUACAGAACAAAUCUCAAACAUCUCUGGCUCGUAUUCUCUUCAUCAACAGCUCCCAAAGUCCCCGAUCUAAACUCUUUGCUCUCAUUAUCACUCUCUUCUUCCUCUUUCUCUAGAUCUACAACACAUAUCUCUCUCUCUAACUCGAUCUGCCAGUCCAUUGCUGCUGCUGCUUGAUCUCGGCUGUUGCAGCUGCUGUCUUUACUUGGUCUUUGCUCCAGCUACUUCCAGUCUGUUGCUGCUGUUGCUGCUCUUCCAGUCCGUUGCUGCUGCUGCUCGAUCUCGGUUGUUGCACCUACUGUCUUCACUUGGUAUUUGCUCCAGCUACUUCCAAUCUGUUGCUGCUGCUGCUGCUCUUCCAGUCCGUUGCUGCUGCUGCUAGAUCUCGGCUGUUGCAGCUGCUGUCUUCACUUGGUAUUUGCUCCAGCUACUUCCAGUCCAUUGAUAUUGCUGCUGCUCUUCCAGUCCGUUGCUGCUGCUGCUGCUAGAUCUCGGCUGUUGCAGCUACUUUCUUCACUUGCUCUUUGCUCCAGCUACGUGUGCUUGCUGCAAUCUGCUCUUCCACUCGCUUGCUGCAACCACUUACUCGGUGCCAUCUUUGCUCCAUCUCUUACUGGUAUAUUUCUUUCUUUUUUCUAUUUGGCUGAAUUUUGAGUGUAAUUCUUUUUGUUUAGCUUGGACCCAUAUCAUGUUCAAUUCGGAAAAUUGGAUUCAAUUGGGCAAAUUGGAUGUUGCUAUGUUCAAUUAGUUUUUUAGGCAAAUUAAUUGGGUGUAGUUUUUUAUUAUCUUGUGUAUUGGUGUUUGCUCUGGUUUUAAGUGGCAUGUGGAAACUGUUAUUUUCUUUGGAUGUACCCAUCUUUGAUCAUGGACAAUAUAUCCAGUAAUUGAAGCCUAGCACUUAUUAUCCAUGGAGCAAGUUACUCCGACUAGCUUACUGAGCCUCAUCUUUAUUUCAUAUUUGAAAUUGAAAUUCAUUUGGCAAUUGCCUAAUGUUGUGGGAGAAAAUUAACUACAGCUUCAUGGAAAAAUCAGAAAUUCUUUUAAGAUGUUAUUGAAUUAUUUUGAGUUGUUGGAAUUUUUGCUUUAUAGAACUUGAUAGGUAUAGAUAUUCAGAGACUUGUUUGUGAAAUACAAGAUUUUGUAUUGGAAGGUUGCACCCAACAUAUACAAUUGAACUUGGUGUAACUUUCUGGUGAAUUUUGGCAGCUUCCGGUCGUUCUGAGUUUGAAUUUCCUCUUGAAUAUAUCGAUCUGCAUUUUAUUGACAUUUGUUGCAAGCAAUUACUUUGAUUUUUUUUAUUCAUUUUAUGAAGUUGUGAUUAUUAGAAUUUGGGAUAGGGCUUGUAAUAAGGUUUGGACUGUCAAAUUUGGACUGUCAAAUUUUGAAUAACAUUGCACAUUUGAAAGCUGUCUUUUUCUACGCAAACAUGCCGACAUGCACAUACACACCAUGAUCUUUCGAGUAACAUUCAUUUUGUAAUCUAUGACAUGUUGCUGAAAUUACUUUCAUGUUAUGUUGAAUUUGAUUAAUAUUUUAUAUGUGUUAUUUUUUUUUUCAAGAUAUGGAUCCAUAUGAUGUUGAUGUUGAGGAUAAGGCCGAUUGGUCUAGCCGGACUGAAAAUGCUUUUAUUCGUAUAGUGCAUGACCAUGUUAAAAAGGGUGAUUUACAAACAUCAACCUUUACUAAGAAAAUUUGGACCACUAUAAGUGAUGAGUUAUUUGAACAAUCCCACAAAAGAUUCAAUGUAGGGCAACUUAAGUCCAAGUUUAAUAGGUUGUACAAAAAACAUCGAGAGUUUUCUGACUUAGUAGCUCAUACUGGGUUUGGUUGGGAUCUUAUUUCAAAUACGGUCACAGCAUCGGAAGCUGUUUGGGCUGAAUAUAUUAAGGUAAAACUAUAUUCACAGUAUAUUAAAUAGUUUCGUAUAAAAUUAAAGUAUUAUUAUUUGGUUUUAUACACUUAUUUUUUUUCCACAAAGAGUGCCUGGAGUGAAGCCAUAUCGUAAAAAAUGAUUAGAGCACUACCAAACCUUAGGGGAGAUAUUCAACACCACCACAACUUCUGGCCAUUUGUGUUUUUCAUCUAACCAAGUUCCAUUGUCCUCAGAUGAGGAUCAUGAAUUGGAAGAGAAUUUCCUUGGUGUUGUGCAAAUUUUAAUGUACUCGCAAGCGCACGAAUCUGUUGUAGUAUAGAUUAAUGGUGACGAGUGUCGAUCCCACGAGGAGGUGGAUUUUAAUUGUGUAGAAUUAAUUUUGUGAAUGGGUGAUUGGAUUUGUGGUGGAAAUGAUUGGAAUAUGCUAAAACUUAAAUUAAAAUGGAGAGAAUAAAUUCUAAAAUUGGUAUUGAAAUGGUGAGAAUAAAUUGAAGAGAAUUCUAUUGAAAUGACGUACUUGGGUAUCUGGAUCCGUAUCAACAUGCAUCAUGGGCUAAAUAAUCCGUAUUAAUGCCAAUUAAAUCAUGAGGGGGGAAUCCACACCUCAUGAACCACGCUCUAAUCAAUAUGGUGCUAAGGGCUUAUCGUGCCAAAUAAUAAUAACCUUGUACUAGAGGGCCGGUGUAACCAAGGCGGUACUAGACAAGAUUAGUAUUAUUUGUCGACGAGAAGUCAAAACAUCCACAAAAACUAGAGGGGAAGAGAAAAUAAAUUUACCAAAUUAAGCCCAUGACGCAUGUUGAGACUUCACCUUCAACCCAAGCUUGAAAGAAAAUUAGCCACUCAUAAUUGAACUAGGGGCAAAAUGGAAAUUUAUUAAAAUACGAAGAAAAUACAAGAUGGAGAGGGAAUUACAGAAAAUGGAUCCCAAAAAUGGAUUCAGAGAUAUCAAAUUAGGGGGGAGAGGCCCCCUUUUUAUAGAUACAUGGAGUAAAUCAUGGCCAUCGGAUUAAAAACAGUUUGGACGCUCAGGAUUGCGCCACGUCAUCAGUCAACAGUCCACGGUUUGACCACGCGGAUGAACAGUAACACGGUUUGACCCGACUUUGAACAGUAACGCGGUUUGACCCGACUUUGAACAGUAACGCGGUUUGACCCGGAUGAACAGUAACGCGGUUUAGUUGAAAAUAAUCCUGUGUGAUGCAUGCACCGUACGCGAGAUUUUUCGUCCACUGAUAUGCUGCCACGUCACCAUCAACAGUACAUAAGAAUUUUAGUCCAACAGGAUCGUGACACCUCAUCAGUCAAUGCCACAUCAUCGGUCAAUGCCACGUCAUCAUCCGUCUAUGUGAACAGUGUCGUGAACAGUAACGUAUACAGUACCGUACACGUGAAUAGUACCGUACAUGUGAAUAGUGCCAUUUUUCCUUUUAUACUCCUCCUAAGGUUUUUGAUCGUCCUGAGUUCAAAAGUGAUGUCCGUUUUGCCGUCUGAUUUCUCCUUUAUUGUGAAAUGACUAUAAUGCCCCUAAAAUACAUAAAAUACUUAAUUAAAAUAAAACACAUGUAAUUAAAUCACAAGAAGGUUAAAUACAUAAAAGUAAGGGUUGUUAAUAAGACUUGAAAUGUAAAAUGACGGUUUUCUCCUUUAUAAAUAUGCAUUUUCUAACACUCAACACACCCCCCAACCAGCUUAUUGCUAGUCCCUAGCAAAUGAAGCGAAAAUAAAAUUCAAAUUCAAAAUGAUUUUUUUUUUAAAUUCAGAAACACUCAUGUUUAUUCAAUCAGAUUAAUGAUAGCAAUCAAAUAAAAGUAUAAGCAUUAUCUUCAGUCUAAAGUAACAUCACACCCACAUCAACCAUCCACAUGAAUCAACCCAGUAGACUUUGUUAUAGCUACUUUCAAGAAUGACAUGUCAAACCCCAAAAUCUCACUGGAAGUAGUGACACUCUCACAAAGAAAUUAAACCCAAUAAAAAUAGUCACUCCAAUGAAUGAUAAUUGAGAGAAAAUAAUGAAGAAGUGAUAUCACAUGCUCUCACCAAGAUAAAAUAAAUAUGCCCUCAGCUUAGAAAUAAUACGAUCUCAAGUCAAAUAAAAUGUUAGUCAACCCACUUUAUUUAUCUUUUUUUUUUUUUUUAAUUAUGCAUGACUACAUCUUUUUAGCCCAUAUAACUAGCUUCUACUUCAAACUAUAGUUCCCUAAAAUCAAGAAGGACUUUUAUUAGGACGUAACGUAGGCUAGGGACAUGGUUAACAAAGAAGGGAAAUAAGGAAAACAAAGUGUAUGUUUGAGAAAAAUGCAAAGAAUUUUUUUUUUUUUUUUUGAACUUGCAAGGUGGAUUUCACCUAUUAUUGUUAUUUUUAUUCUUUUGAAACAACAACUUUUGUUUUAUUUAUUUUUUUUCUCUUUUUUUUUUUUUUUGCUUUUAUUUGGCACAACUUCACUGAACAAAAUAAUUAUUUACAUUUUUCUCAAACAUAAAUAGGUGAUGGACCUUAUAAGACAUCGGGUAAUACUCCAAAUCGGAGUGGGUCAAGAUGAUAAGUUGACAAAGAAAAGGUUUUUUUUUUUUUUUUUUUUUUUUUUUAAAGGCUCAAAAGGGUUAACUAUGGAUAUAUCACAAAAGGGAUGGCUAGAAAGGCUCAAACGGAUCAAAGAUGGCCUUUCCAUCGUCUUUUAGGGCUCUAAAUAAUCAUCCAUAUCUACUAGUUAAAUGAGCCUCCCAAUGUAGCAACACACAUUUUUUUUUUAUUUUUUAUUAAGGGUUAACUCAAAAGAAAUCUAGAGAUCGUGUAUACAAUAAUAAACUGUUAAGCUGUAUAAAGAAUGGGCAAAAGGGUUACUCUCCAAGAAAAAUGAUAGGCUCAAAAACUCACUUGGUACUUAUUAUGACAUGUUCAUUCCUUCAAGCAACUCAUAUAUGUCUCCGACAUCAACAUGUAGAGUAGCAAACAUAAUGUAACAUCACUUAAGACCAAAGAUAAUACAAAUACUAAAAUUUAAAAUUAAUCAUGUCACCCAAUGUUAAAACAAAUCACACAAUUUUUUUUUUUUUUAAACAACAUUCUACCCCCCAACCUAUUCUAAACAUGAAAGGGAAAUAUGCAUGCAGAAAUGUGAAAAUGAUGCAUAAAAACUAAUUAGAAAAGUUACACGUAAAAUGAUAGAAAACGAAAAUAAUUUUUUAUUUUUUUUAAAGAAGAUGCGUUUCUAGAGGAACUACACUCCAUAUUCAGCCAUCUUCGACUCAAAAGUUGGAAAAUGUAUAUUGAUAGAGGAGAAAUUAAAAAGAAGAAAAAUAAACAUAAACACAUAAUAAAGAAAAAGAAAAUGUCUGAAAUUUUUUUUUUAGUUUUUUAAUUUUUUUUUUUUUUUUUUACGAUGAAGAUGCGUUUCUAGAGUCACUACACUCCAUAUUCAGCCAUCUUCGACACAAAAAGUUAGCAACAGUUAGUUUCUACAACAAAAAUUAGUAAAAACUUAACCAAAAUUCCACAAUUGUCGACUAUUCCCUCCCCCCAACCAGAACGAAACAUUGUCCUCAAUGUUUGAAAGGAAAGAAGUAGAGUUUAGAAGACAUCACCUGGGUGGUGCAACACAGAAAACAAUAUUUACAAGCGGAGAGUUAAAUCUAAUUUGUACUUCUUACUGCGGCUACUGUUACCAUCAUUAUUUGGGCGCUCCAACACAAAGGUCCAGGGGUCUGGCUCCGGUUUAUAAGCUUGUAACAGAUCAAGUAGCUCAUUAGCAGUGUGAGCACAAAUAAAGAGUUUUUUCACAUUAGCGGGAAUGAAAUAGUUUUUUAUUGCAUGGUUAAGAAAUGCGAUAAAGCCAUCAUAAAAGUUAUUGACAUUUAACAAACCGAUGGGUUUUUGGUGGAUGUGCAGAUGGGCCCAAGAUGCUAGCGUGAUAAGUGCCUCUAGUGUUGCAAGAUCUCCUGGAAGGAAAAUAAAAGCAUCAGCAUGAUUAAGCAUUUCAAUUAUUCUUUCUUGCAUACCUGAGACGACUAACUCUUCUCCAGUUGAUGAGUCAGACGAACUGCCCAAUGGUUUUAAGACUCUUGGGAUGAUGCCUAACACUUGACUUCCUCUGAUAAAAGCUGCUUCUGAGACCAUUUUUGAUAACCCUCGAUUACCUCCUCCAUACACCAAGUGUAAUUUUCUCGCUGCUAUGCUUUGACCAAGAUCUAUGGCUGCCUCAACGAACUCUUUAUGUUUGCCAUAUGUAAAUCCAGAAAGCACACAAAUGUUCUUGAAUUGUCUAUUGGGAGUAGCUGCCAUUGUGAUACUUCGCAAAAAUAAUUUGUGAGUGCUUGACAAAGAAAAUCACAUUUAAGAGUCUUGGUGAUAGUGGGUCAUAGUUGUGUAGGAGGUCACAUGUCCAUGUCAAAUAACGCGUAAAGCACGUGGCUCGCGAGUCAAAAAGGAAACAGUAAAAAGGGAAAAGCAAACAGUAAUAAGGAAAAAGCAAACAGUAAUAAAAUUAUUAAAGACAAUAAUGCAAACAAUAAGACAAUAGUGAAAUAAAAUAACAAUAAAGUAAAAGGAUAUUUACAGGUAGUUGCGACUGUGGCUCACAUCUUCCUCUGGUUUUACGUCCAGAAACGGCUUGAACGCCCUCUAUGGGUCGAGGAUAGGCUUCCUAUCCAGUUUUCUUAUAAACUGGCAAACAGGGUCGUUUAUAGUCAGAUUCCCGAGACUAUAUCGUGCAUGCUCUUUCUGGAACAAUGGCCAUAACUGGAGAAUCGCUCCUUGCACAUAUCCACUGGGAUGCGUUUCAAGAGACAAAAGGAUAUCAUCCAAUGACUCCUUAUUCAAGCCAUCCCUAAUGAAUUGAAUCUUAUCUUCCCUGUUAUCAGACAUCAUUCCUAAAGAACAUGGGUUUUUAUUGCAACUCAUUCUGGCACACUUAUGACAAGCAACCGAAAUUCUUCGAGCUCGUCGUUUUCUUGCAUAAUUUCCUUUACCACAACCAGGCAUGUAUGCAAUAAAUUUUGGAGGUAACUCACCUGCCGAUCGUACUUUUGCCUCAAUUAACCAACGGAUAUCAGCAGGUAUGUUAUUCCUCAUGAGCAAUCGCAUGCGUUCGGACCGAGCUUUAUAGAUUGUAAGGAGGGCAUUCUGAGGAAGUGAAGGGAAUCGCUUGUGAAGCUUCGCUAGAGUCUCGUUUCUGUCCAUACUUUCGCCUCAGAAUAUCAGUUAUUAUGGGAAACUGAAGUAACCGACUUGAUUGUCACGGAGUACCGUUAUCCGCCACUUCACCGGGGUAACAAACUAAAGCACACAAACAGAAAACAAAUUAAAACACACAAAGAAAAUUAAAAUCGUCCUCUUAUUGAAUUUACCUCAAGCUCCAACUGGAUGUCGUAAACACUUCUCUCAAUGUCUCUGAGUUGGCUUUCUAAACCCUCAACAUAGGCUACUAACUCUGGUGGUUGUAGAGCUCAAAUGCGUUGUGUUUUACAAAAUUGAAUCUGCCUUUUGAGAUGAGUUUUGACACGUUGAAGUGGUUUAAGAAUGUUCAGGAGGAACGGUCUAAGUAUGAGACUCAUGAUUAAAAAUGAUAAGAGAAAACUUAAUGGUAAAAUAAACACACUUAUGCAAAAACAAUUUCAAUUAGCAAAAGAAUAAUAUAAAGAAAGAAAACAAAAUCAAAUCAACGAAAAGAAAGAAAAAAAAAAUCAAUUCAAAUCUGGUGGGUCACUCAAAUUUAUUUCGGUGUCUUCUUCAUGUGGUUGGUACUCUAGAUAUGGCUUUAAUCUUUGACCAUUAACUUUAAACGUGACACCGUUCUUUGGGUCCUUAAUUUCAAUUGCCCCAUGUGGAAAAACAGUAUGAACAAUAAAGGGACCAGACCAACGAGAGCGUAACUUACCUGGGAAUAGGUGCAAGCGAGAAUUGAAUAAAAGCACUUUCUGACCUGGAGUGAACGAUUUUCUCAUAACGUGCUUGUCAUGGAAGACUUUCAUUCGUUGCUUGUAAAUCUUGGCAUUUUCGUAUGCAUCAUUGCGAAUUUCUUCAAGUUCUGCCAGUUGUAAUCUUCUUUCUGAGUUGGCUUGCUGCAUGUCAAAAUUGAAUUUCUUGAUGGCCCAAUACGCACGAUGCUCGAGUUCCACAGGUAGGUGGCAAGCUUUUCCAUACACUAGCCUGUAGGGUGACAUCCCAAUCGGGGUCUUGAAAGCCGUUCUAUAUGCCCAUAAUGCAUCAUCAAGUCUUAAUGACCAAUCUUUUUUGUCCGGCCUCACCGUCUUUUCUAAUAUGUGCUUUAUUUCUCGAUUGGAUAUCUCAACUUGGCCACUGGUUUGCGGAUGAUACGGGGUCGCCACUUUGUGUGUGAUUGAAUACUUUGUCAAAAGUGCUUUGAAUGCUUUGUUACAAAAGUGGGCACCACCAUCACUGAUUAUUGCUCGAGGGAAUCCAAAGCGCGAGACAAUGUUGCUUUUCAAAAAUCCUAUCACCACCUUGUGAUCAUUGGUCCUACAUGAAAUUGCUUCUACCCAUUUUGAUACGUAGUCAACAGCAACCAAUAUGUAUUGAUGGCCAAAAGACGGGGGAAAGGGUCCCAUGAAGUCGAUACCCCAUACGUCAAAAAUCUCAACCACUAAAAUUGGAUUUAGUGGCAUCAUGUUCCUCCGUGUAAUGCUCCCCAUUCGUUGACACCUAUCACAUAAAGAACAGAAAGUGUAAGCGUCUCGAAAUAUAGAUGGCCAAUAGAAACCACAUUGUAAAACUUUAGUCGCUGUUUUCUUAGCACUGAAAUGGCCUCCACAAGCUUGUUCAUGGCAGAAUGAAAGGAUAUUCUGAAUUUCACUUUCUGGGACACAUCGUCUAACAAUUUGGUCUGCACAAUACUUGAAUAAAUAUGGGUCAUCCCAAAAAAAAUUCUUUAUUUCUGCAAAGAAUUUAGCCUUGUCUUGCUUGGUCCAAUGCUCUGGAAGUUUACCUGUAACAAGAUAAUUAACUAUAUCAGCAUACCAAGGUAAUACUUCCACAUUCAUUAAUUGUUCAUCUGGAAAUGACUCAUUCAAUAUUAAUGGCUCUGUAAUUGAGUCAAAAUGGAGACGAGAGAGGUGGUCCGCCACAACAUUUUCUGUCCCUUUCUUAUCUUUGAAUUCCAAGUCAAAUUCCUGCAAAAGUAACACCCAACGAAUUAGCCUAGCUUUUGCAUCUUUCUUUGUGAGAAGAUAUUUAAGAGCAGCAUGAUCUGUGAACACGAUUAUUUUACAACCAAUGAGAUAAGAUCGAAAUUUCUCUAAUGCAAACACUACUGCUAGCAUUUCUUUUUCAGUAGUUGAAUAGUUCAACUGUGCAUCAUUCAAUGUCAUACUAGCAUAGUAAAUAACGUGGGAAAUUCGAUCAACUCUUUGUCCUAAUACUGCUCCUACUGCAUAAUCAGAUGCAUCACACAUGAGUUCAAAUGGUAAGCUCCAGUUUGGGGCCUGAAUGAUGGGUGAUGAUGUCAACAACUGCUUUAAUUUUUCAAACGCCAUAAGACAUGAAUUAUUAAAGAUAAAAGGUACAUCCUUAGCAAGUAAAUUGCAUAAGGGUCUAGAAACUUUGCUAAAAUCUUUAAUGAAACGUCUAUAAAAACCAGCAUGCCCAAGGAAAGAUCUUACUUCUCUGACUGUCUUGGGUGGAGGAAGAUUAGAAAUGAGAUCCACCUUGGCUUUGUCAACCUCAAUACCUUUGCUCGAAAUGAUGUGACCGAGAACAAUACCUUGUUUUACCAUAAAAUGGCAUUUCUCCCAAUUUAAGACCAAGUUCUUCUCGAUACAUCUCUGCAGAACUAGUGUUAGAUGAUGUAAACAUUGAUCAAACGAAUCACCAAAGACAGAAAAGUCAUCCAUAAAGACUUCAAGGAAUCGUUCAACCAUAUCAGAAAAAAUGCUCAACAUGCAUCGUUGAAAUGUAGCAGGUGCAUUGCAUAAUCCAAAUGGCAUUCUCCUAUAUGCAAAUGUGCCAAAAGGGCAAGUGAAAGUAGUUUUCUCCUGAUCUUUUGGUGCUAUGGGGAUCUGAUUGUAUCCUGAGUAGCCAUCUAGAAAGCAAUAAAAUUCAUGACCUGCUAAUCUAUCAAGCAUUUGAUCAAUAAAUGGUAAAGGGAAAUGGUCUUUACGUGUGACAGAAUUCAACUUCCUAUAAUCAAUGCAUACACGCCAUCCUGUAGUCACUCUAGUGGGUAUCAAUUCAUUAUCGGCAUUGGUAACUACAGUGACUCCUGACUUUUUGGGGACAACUUGCACAGGACUGACCCAUGAACUAUCAGAAAUGGGGUAAAUGAUACCUGCGUCUAAUAGUUUAAGGACUUCAGUUCUAACAACAUAUUUCAUAUUAGGAUUUAACCGACGUUGCAUCUCCCUAGUAGUUUUAGCAUUUUCAUCAAGGUGAAUGUAAUGCAUGCAGUCUACUGGGUUUAUACCUUUAAUGUCUGCUAUGGUCCAUCCUAAUGCUCCUUUGUGCUCUUUUAAAACAUCCAACAACUUACCUUUUUGUUCGUCAUUUAGGGAUGAUGAGAUGAUUACCGGCAGAGUACUUUCUUCUCCCAAAAAUGCAUAUUCCAAUGUGUUGGGCAAUGGUUUGAGCUCGAGUUCCGGUGGUGAUUCUGAUGAUGGGAUGAGUUUCUUCUCUGAUGGUGCUAGUUGUUCAACUCUUGACUUCCAUUUAUUAGUGUCCAUGGAUGGUGCUGAGUCAAGCAGGGCGUUGACCUCAUCGACCGAUCUGUCAAUAUCAAAAUCCAAACCAAAGUGAGUUAAACAUGUUUGUAAAGGAUCAUCACUAAGGUUUGAAACAAAAGUAUCAUCAACUAAUGCUUCAAUUAAAUCCACAUCAACAAUUCCAUCAUCUGCACUGUGAGGUUGUUUGGCAAUGUUGAAGAUGUUCAGCUCCAUAGUCAUGUUGCCGAAGGACAACUGCAUAUUUCCAGUCCUACAUUGAAUGUGAGCAUCCGCAGUUGCCAAGAAAGGUCGGCCUAGAAUAAUGGGGAUGUGCUUCCUUGAAUCCUGUAUUGGUUGAGUGUCAAUUACAAUGAAAUCAACAGGAAAAUAAAACUUGUCUACCUGGAUAAGCACGUCCUCCACAAUACCACGAGGUAUUUUCGUAGACCGAUCUGCAAGCUGUAACACCACUGGAGUUGGGUGUAAUUCUCCAAGUCCAAGUUUCACAAACACUGAAUAAGGUAACAGAUUUACACUAGCUCCUAAAUCCAACAAAGCAUUCUCAAUUGUGUGGUUCCCUAUACUACAUGAGAUAGUGGGGGAGCCUGGGUCUUUGCAUUUUAAAUGAAUUUUAUGUUGGAGUAUAGAACUAACGUUUUCUGUUAAAAAUGCCUUCUUUUGAACAUGCAUAUUUCUCUUUUUAGUACAAAGGUCUUUAAGAAACUUGGCAUAAGAUGGAACUUGUUUAAUAGCAUCAAGCAAAGGGAUGUUAACACUUACCUGUUUGAAGAUUUCAAGAAUCUCACCUGUGGAUUUUCCCUUUUUUCCUUUAGCUAACCUCUGAGGAAAUGGAGCUUUGGGAACAUAUUCCCGUGGGUUGGUUUCUUCUUUUUCCUCCGGUGGUGAGUCCUCAACAUUCACAGGUACAAUUUGAUUUUCUUUUGUCACCGGCAUCUCCACUUUGUUGUCGACUUCCUUUCCUUUUCGCAAGGUCAUUACUGCUUUGACCUCUCCAUGUUGCUGUGGUGAACUGGUACUUGCUUCAUGUACUCCUUUAGGAUUAGGCACUGGUUGACUUGGAAACUUGCCUUUCUCAACAGUCAUUGCUAAGGUCUGAACUGAAGAAGCAAGUUGUCCCACCAUCUUCUCGAGGCUUGAAACCGAUUGGGCUUGUGAGUUGAAGCCUGUUCUCAACUCAUUUCGUAGUCCAUCAAUAGUGCGGUUUUGUUGCUCAAUCGUGGAGUGAGUAACAUUCUUGAAAUUUUGGAAUGCAUCCUCCCAUGGUCUGGGUUGAGAGUAGUUCUGGUUCUGAUUGUAUGGUCUAAAUGGGGGCUGAGAGGCUUGAGGAACUUGAGGAAUUUGUUGCAUUGGUGGAGCUGGAGCUCCUGGUCCAUUCUGUUGAAAUCCUUGAGACCAUGAAAAAUUGGGGUGGUCUCUCCAUCCAGGGUUAUAUGUGUUGGAGUAUGGGUUGUAAUUUGAUGGCUUUCUCAUUACACCUAUGGCAUUGGCUUGAUCUGAGUAUGAGUCAUGAUCAUGUGGUUCUGUUGAUUUAGCAGUCGAUAAUGAUGCUAUUUGUCGAGCAAGACCUUCAACCAUCUCCUUGACUUCUUUGAUUCCCGAAGUUGACUCGCCAAUGUGAACCUCAUUUACUCCCUUAAUUCUUCUAGUAGUCCUGAGUGAUCGACUCCGUUGUUGGGAAUUAUCUGCUUGUCGCUGGAAGAAUUCCCAAAUUUCUGAUGCACUUUUUGACAUUAGCUCUCCUCCACUUGUUGCCAUUAGCCAUUCUUGCACAUUCGGCAAUAAUCCCUCCAAAAAGUAUUGGCAUUGGUGCCAUUUCUCGUACCCAUGAUGUGGACACUUCAAGAGUAGCCCAUUGAAUCGCUCCCAUGUUUCGAAAAAUUGCUCGUCCUCUCUCUGGGUAAACUCCGAGAUUUCCCUGCGAAUAGCAUUGGUUUUAUGUACUGGGAAAUAUUUAUUCAAAAAUUUUGUAACCAUUUGUUCCCAUGAUGCAAUGCUAUUAGCAGGCAAUGUAUUAAGCCAUGAACGAGCUCUAUCCUUUAAAGAAAAUGGGAAUAGUCUAAGUUUAACAUCAUCGUCUGAAAAAUUUUCAUAUUUAAAAGUUUGACAAAUGGCAUGAAAAUCAUUCAGAUGAUUAUAUGGAUCCUCAUUUUCUAGGCCAUAAAAUGUGGGGAGACAAUUUAGCACACUAGGUUUUAAUUCGAAACUCCUAGCAGCUACAUUUGGGUAUCUUAUGCAUGAUGUGCUCAAAUUAGCUAAGGGACUGAAGUAGUCCUUAAAUGGUCUCUCUUGUGGUUGCAAAUCCAUUUCAAAUUUAUUUUUAAUGUGCUUUUGUGUGCGAAGUGUUUUUUCUAAUUCAAGGUCUAUAGGGUCAAGAUUAGGUAAUAAUGACCUACGACCAUGCAUGCAAAACAAAUAAAAUGAAAAUAAAGAUGGGAACAAGACAAAUAAAAAUAAAUAAGAGGGAGAAAUUACGAUACUAACCUUAUUGCGCUAUUAAAACCUUUCUAUAAAAAUACACAAAAACAAAUACGUGAAAUAAAUUAACUAAAAAUAAAUUAAUAAGAUAAAAAAAUUACAAAGAAAAAUAAAUUGAAAAAUAAAUUACAGAAUUUUAAAGAAAAGAAAAAGAAAAGAAAUACUAACCUUUAAAUGUAAAUUCACUUUUUUUUCUUUUUUUUCUUUUUUUAAUAAAAAAAAUACAAGAAAACAAAUAAAAGAAAUUAUUCAAAAAAAUUAAUUCUAUGAAUUGAAAUUACUUACCUCCCCGGCAACGGCGCCAAAAACUUGUUGUGCAAAUUUUAAUGUACUCGCAAGCGCACGAAUCUGUUGUAGUAUAGAUUAAUGGUGACGAGUGUCGAUCCCACGAGGAGGUGGAUUUUAAUUGUGUAGAAUUAAUUUUGUGAAUGGGUGAUUGGAUUUGUGGUGGAAAUGAUUGGAAUAUGCUAAAACUUAAAUUAAAAUGGAGAGAAUAAAUUCUAAAAUUGGUAUUGAAAUGGUGAGAAUAAAUUGAAGAGAAUUCUAUUGAAAUGACGUACUUGGGUAUCUGGAUCCGUAUCAACAUGCAUCAUGGGCUAAAUAAUCCGUAUUAAUGCCAAUUAAAUCAUGAGGGGGGAAUCCACACCUCAUGAACCACGCUCUAAUCAAUAUGGUGCUAAGGGCUUAUCGUGCCAAAUAAUAAUAACCUUGUACUAGAGGGCCGGUGUAACCAAGGCGGUACUAGACAAGAUUAGUAUUAUUUGUCGACGAGAAGUCAAAACAUCCACAAAAACUAGAGGGGAAGAGAAAAUAAAUUUACCAAAUUAAGCCCAUGACGCAUGUUGAGACUUCACCUUCAACCCAAGCUUGAAAGAAAAUUAGCCACUCAUAAUUGAACUAGGGGCAAAAUGGAAAUUUAUUAAAAUACGAAGAAAAUACAAGAUGGAGAGGGAAUUACAGAAAAUGGAUCCCAAAAAUGGAUUCAGAGAUAUCAAAUUAGGGGGGAGAGGCCCCCUUUUUAUAGAUACAUGGAGUAAAUCAUGGCCAUCGGAUUAAAAACAGUUUGGACGCUCAGGAUUGCGCCACGUCAUCAGUCAACAGUCCACGGUUUGACCACGCGGAUGAACAGUAACACGGUUUGACCCGACUUUGAACAGUAACGCGGUUUGACCCGACUUUGAACAGUAACGCGGUUUGACCCGGAUGAACAGUAACGCGGUUUGGUUGAAAAUAAUCCUGUGUGAUGCAUGCACCGUACGCGAGAUUUUUCGUCCACUGAUAUGCUGCCACGUCACCAUCAACAGUACAUAAGAAUUUUAGUCCAACAGGAUCGUGACACCUCAUCAGUCAAUGCCACAUCAUCGGUCAAUGCCACGUCAUCAUCCGUCUAUGUGAACAGUGUCGUGAACAGUAACGUAUACAGUACCGUACACGUGAAUAGUACCGUACAUGUGAAUAGUGCCAUUUUUCCUUUUAUACUCCUCCUAAGGUUUUUGACCGUCCUGAGUUCAAAAGUGAUGUCCGUUUUGCCGUCUGAUUUCUCCUUUAUUGUGAAAUGACUAUAAUGCCCCUAAAAUACAUAAAAUACUUAAUUAAAAUAAAACACAUGUAAUUAAAUCACAAGAAGGUUAAAUACAUAAAAGUAAGGGUUGUUAAUAAGACUUGAAAUGUAAAAUGACGGUUUUCUCCUUUAUAAAUAUGCAUUUUCUAACACUCAACACUUGGUCAUGGAGUUCAUGUUGAUAUUGAGGAUGACGAUUCAAUGGAACCUCUUUCCGAGACUAGGACAGAAAAAAUGCCUCGUCGGCCAAUUGCAACUGAGCGUAGUAAAAAAAAAAAGAGUGAGUUUGACAGUUACUUUAAAAUGGCUAGUUCAGUGAUGAAUGCUAGAAUGGAGAUGGUUAAGUGCAAAAGUGCGGAGUCAACUUCUCAAUGUGUUGAAAAAUGGUCUAUUGAAGAGUGUAUUGAAGUUGUGGAGAAAUUGGGAGACAUUGAUGGAGAUACAUACAACAAAUUGAUGGAUAAGCUAGUGCCCAGUAUUGAGUGGAGGAAAGCAUUUUUGAGCAUGCCUGAGCAUAAGGAAAAAAUAUUGGUUAACUAGUUUAUAGUUUGUUGUUUAAGAUAUAAUGUGUUUAACUUGGAUGUUAUUUGGAUAUUAUUGGUUGUGAACUGUGUGCUUGUUUAUUUUAUAGUUUGGACUUUGUAAUACUUUUAUUUGUUGAACUUUAUGUUAUUUUUAUAAGUUGAAAUGUGUUUGUUGACUUUAUGUUAUUUUUAUAAGUUGAAAUGUGUUUGUUGACUUUAUGUUAUUUUUAUAAGUUGAAAUGUGUUUGUUGAACUUUAUUUUAUUUUAUUUUUGUGAGUUGAACUUUUUAUUUUUUUAGAUCAAUUAUCAUAUACUUGAAAUAUAAUCUAGGAUUUUGUUUUAAUCAGAUAAAAAAAUGAAUAACAACAACAAUGAAGAUGAUGAUAUUGACAGUUUAACAGAUAUUGAAGAAGAGGUUUUAGAGGUAGCCAUUACUAUAAAAAUUUAUGAGAAACAACAGCGUGCUAUUAUAAGGCAAUGCUAUACAGGACAAUUGUCUGGAAUUGAAUUUGUUCAAGAGUUGUUAAAUGGUCAUUCGGACAGGAUGUAUAACAUGUUUCAAAUGGAUAAAGAAGUUUUUAUUCGAUUAUGUUAUACACUUGAACAUUUACAGUUAUUAGAGAAUGAUAGACAUGUUUGUAUCAAGGAGGCUGUAGCAAUGUGCUUGUAUAUAUUGUCUCAUGGUGCUGUUGUGCGGGUUGUAUCUGAGCGUUUUCAACGUUCAUCGGAAACUGUGUUUACACACUUUAAGCAUGUGUUAAAAGCAUUUUGUCACUUGGCAAAUCACAUUAUAAAACCAAAACCUCAAGGGGAAGCGCCAUUAAAGAUUAGAAACAAUCCAAUUUUUUUUCCAUAUUUUGAGGUAAGAAAUUCAAUACACGUUACUUCAAUAUUUAUGUGACAUUAACAUUUGGUUAAUAAAUUAUUAAUUUUUUCAUAUUUUCACAAAAGUGUAUCAGUGCAAUUGAUGGAACCCACAUUGCUGCAUGGUCACCAGCACAGAAACAGAUAUCAUAUCGAGAUAGAAAGACUCAGGUGACUCAAAAUAUCAUGUGUGCAUGUUCUUUUGACAUGAUGUUUACAUUUGUAUAUACGGGCUAGGAAGGUACCGCCAAUGACUCAAGGGUGUUUAUGGAUGCCUUAAAUAGACCAGAAUCUGGGUUUCCACUUCCGGAAGAAGGUAAAAAUAUUGAUAUAUAUGUGUGUGUUAAUAUGUUUGGCUUUUAUUUUUUAAUUAAGUUAUGUUUUAUUGUUUCUAUAUUUUAGGAUAUUACUACGUUUUGGAUUUUGGAUACAUAAAUAUGAAGGGAUUUUUGACACUAUAUAGAGGUGAGAGAUAUCAUUUACGUGAUUAUAGAGGACUAAGUCGAGCACCUAGAGGUCCCCAAGAAUUGUUUAAUUAUAGAUAUUUAUCAUUGCGUAAUGUAAUUGAGUGAUGCUUUGGUGUUUUAAAGGUAAGAUUUUCAAUUUUAAGGGACAUGCAUAAUUAUAGUUUACGUAAGCAACGUCUAAUUCCAAUUGCAUGUUGCGCUUUGCAUAAUUUUAUUCGACGAGAAAAUGCAAGUGAUAGGUUAUUUGGGGACUUUGAUGUACAAGAUUUGGUUACCAACAAUGAAGGAGACACUAGUAGACCACUUACUAAUAUUGAUUUAUCUCCAGUAAGUGUCGCAGAGAUGAAUGCUACAAGAAAUGGAAUUGCAGCUUUUAUGUGGCAUGAUUACAAAUGUAAUGCAUAAUGUGUAUCAUGUAGUUUUUUUUUAUAAUUAUUUUGUUUAAAUCAUGUGUUGUAAUAUAUAUCUUAAUUAUAUAGUGUAAAAAUAAUGACAAUGUCAAACUUUUUUUAAUUAAUGUUAAUUCAUAAACUUUAUUAUCAUAUAAUUUUUUUAUAUUAAAUUUGGUUAAAUUAUUUUGGUGUAUUUGUGUGUAUUAGCUAAAUAAUUAUUUUAUCACUAUAAAUAUAAUGUAAAUAAUUAGUAAAAACUGUUUUUGAAAAAAAAAUAUUACCAAACGUAUAUUCUCUGUUUUGAUCAUUUUCAACUGUGUCUACCAAACGCAUAUUACUGUUUUCAAUUUUAAAAUAUAAAUUAUAGAAAAUGAUACCAGACGUAUAUUUAAAUUCGAAAUACUGUAACUACAAAAUAAUAUUUUUAUUUUUAUUUUUAUUCUCAUAAAAUAUAAAUUUAAAAAUAAUACCAAACAGGACCUUAUAGAUUAAGUCCCACUUAUCUCCGAAAGUAACCAACUGAUUUCACACUGGCCACCAACGAAGAAUUAAUUUGGCUGAGAUUAGAAACUAACAUGCCACGCUGACCGGUCGAUGGCUGCUUCCGUAUUUGACUCUCAUCCAACUCAUGACUUUAUUAAUUACCCAAAAAGAAAGCACGGAACAC